GACGAACGCUGGCGGCGUGCUUAACACAUGCAAGUCGAACGGGCCUUGUCCCCUUUUUUUUUGGGGGUGGGGUUAGUGGCGAACGGGUGGGUAACACGUGAGUAACCUGCCCCUCACUUCUGGAUAACCGCUUGAAAGGGUGGCUAAUACGGGGUGUUCUGGCCUGCUCGCAUGGGUGGGUUUGGAAAGAUUCGACCGGUUUUGGUUGUUUUGGUGGUGGAUGGGCUCGCGGCCUAUCAGCCUGUUGGUGGGGUGAUGGCCUGCCAAGGCUUUGACGGGUAGCGGGCAUGAGAGGGUGGACGGUCACACUGGGACUGAGACACGGCCCAGACCCCUACGGGAGGCAGCAGUGGGGAAUAUUGCAAGAGGGGCGAAAGCCUGAUGCAGCGACGCCGCGUGAGAGAUGGAGGCUUUCGGGUUGUGAACCUCUUUCGCCGGUGAAAAAGGUCCUGCUCUUUGUGGUGGGGUUGACGGUAGCUGGGUUAAUGAAGCGCCGGCUAACUACGUG
rnacentral:rRNA from 1 species